rnacentral:lncRNA from 1 species
GAUGCUAACGAGGCGGGAAUCGAAGUGGGCGACCUAUCUACCGCCUGUGUCUAUCUCCUGUCAAGUAUGCUCCCCAGACAUAGACUACGAACAGGGUAGUACUUUUGGAAUCAUCGCGUGAACAUAACAUUAAGUUACGAAUGUAAUUCCCGAGGGAUCGACCACUAUUCUAAAUAUAGUAAGGCGGGGAACUGUUGUUCAUUGGAGCGCCGGAGUGCAGAGGUUGUUUCCAUCAUUGAAGUCAGAGUGUGGGACUGAGCCUUCCGAAUGAAAAAAACAAAAAAGUGCUUAGUUUCGUUGGAAAAACCAACGCAAAUAUCAUAUUGACUUUCUCUCGCCCUACUUCUAAAGAUAGAUAGAAAAGGUUGGAGAGAGUGACUUUCAACAAUUCUCUCCUUUCUAAAGCUGCGAAAGGCGGCCCCCCCCCAGAACAAAGCCCACCCCUCUUUUCCCCCUUUAAUGAAAGACCCUCGCCUCGCUUCCUAUUCAUUUGUGGGUCGGGACCCGAGGGCCUUUUUUUUAUCAAGAGGUGAUUUCGAGAAUCAACCAACCGACAAAUCCGUAGCCCAGGUGACUCACAGCCUCCCUCUCGCCCAAAUGAAAUGGGAUGAAUCAAAUCAAUAAGCUUUUUGAUUGAUUCAGGGCGCAGCGAAGCCAAAUUCAAUCAAGGCAAAGGGGGGCUUACUUUUCCUGACGCUGAGUCAUCCUAUUCAAAUUUAGCUAUGCUAAUGGAACAGGACAAGUUUUCAGAUGAUAUGUGGACCCCCAAGAGAUGAGCGAGAACCUCCAAUUGCUUAGGGGUCGCACUCUGUUCCCGCUUGGUGGACGAGAUCUUCUCCCCUUUUAGCUUAGCUCCCACACACCCUUGCCCUCUUUCACCGAAGAGGAAAGAAGAAUCUUCCAAGCAGACAGAGAUCUAAAUUUCCAUUAGAUUCAUUCCGUUGCUUGCUUUGUUGCAGCAAGAUGAUUAGUCCGAGAGUGCUGGAGAGAAGAGAAAGCGGUAAAAACCUCUCUUCUUCGGUCACCGAGCAGUCGGACGACUCUUCAGUAACCCAGGAUGACCCCUUCGGCGCUUCUUUCGCUGUAUACCCCCUCCAUCCUUCGAAAAUAAAGAAGGGUACUAUAUAUAUAUUCUUACUAUAUUUCUUUAAUAUAUAUAUAUAUUGUAGGGCCCCAGAACGCUAAAAAGUGGGGGAACAAGAGUUGUCACGAUAGGAAGGAAAAAUGACUAUAAGGAACCAACGAUUCUCUCUUCUUAAACAACCUAUAUCCUCCACACUUAAUCAGCAUUUGAUAGAUUAUCCAACCCCGAGCAAUCUUAGUUAUUGGUGGGGGUUCGGUUCGUUAGCUGGUAUUUGUUUAGUCAUUCAGAUAGUGACUGGCGUUUUUUUAGCUAUGCAUUACACACCUCAUGUGGAUCUAGCUUUCAACAGCGUAGAACACGUUAUGAGAGAUGUUGAAGGGGGCUGGUUGCUACGUUAUAUGCAUGCUAAUGGGGCAAGUAUGUUUCUCAUUGUGGUUUACCUUCAUAUUUUUCGUGGUCUAUAUCAUGCGAGUUAUAGCAGUCCUAGGGAAUUUGUUCGGUGUCUCGGAGUUGUAAUCUUCCUAUUAAUGAUUGUGACAGCUUUUAUAGGAUACGUACUACCGUGGGGUCAGAUGAGCUUUUGGGGAGCUACAGUAAUUACAAGCUUAGCUAGCGCCAUACCUGUAGUAGGGGAUACCAUAGUGACUUGGCUUUGGGGUGGUUUCUCCGUGGACAAUGCCACCUUAAAUCGUUUUUUUAGUCUUCAUCAUUUACUCCCCUUUAUUUUAGUAGGCGCCAGUCUUCUUCAUCUGGCCGCAUUGCAUCAAUAUGGAUCAAAUAAUCCAUUGGGUGUACAUUCAGAGAUGGAUAAAAUAUCUUUUUACCCUUAUUUUUAUGUAAAGGAUCUAGUAGGUUGGGUAGCUUUUGCUAUCUUUUUUUCUAUUUGGAUUUUUUAUGCUCCCAAUGUUUUGGGGCAUCCCGACAAUUAUAUACCUGCUAAUCCGAUGCCCACCCCGCCUCAUAUUGUGCCGGAAUGGUAUUUCCUACCGAUCCAUGCCAUUCUUCGUAGUAUACCUGACAAAUCGGGAGGUGUAGCCGCAAUAGCACCCGUUUUUAUAUGUCUGUUGGCUUUACCUUUUUUUAAAAGUAUGUAUGUGCGUAGUUCAAGUUUUCGCCCGAUUUACCAAGGAAUAUUUUGGUUGCUUUUGGCGGAUUGCUUAUUACUAGGUUGGAUCGGAUGUCAACCUGUGGAGGCACCAUUUGUUACUAUUGGACAAAUUUCUCCUUUAGUUUUCUUCUUGUUCUUUGCCAUAACGCCCAUUCUGGGACGGGUUGGAAGAGGAAUUCCUAAUUCUUACACUGAGACUGAGCACGCCUGAUCAGUAAAAAAUUCUGACACCAAUCAUUUACAAGUGAGUAUUACACCAAGAA